ensembl:lncRNA
CACCUCCCUGGGAUAUAGUGCUAAAAGUACAUGUGUACAUCCAGUGUGGCCAGAAGUGUUUGUCACGUUCCUGCUGAAUAGCACCGCUGUACUGUCAAACAUGCAAUCCACCUUGCCCAGUUACCGUUGGAUUGGACUGUAUUUGCUGGCAACUUUCCUGUUGACCUGCUCAUUUGAUUCAGCACGAAUGGGAGAAUGUACUGCAGUUCUCCUCAUGCAAGUUGGGUGAAGUAUAAGGUGCAAGAGUUGGCACAGAAAGGCAGGCCGUGUUUGGACAGAUGAUCAUGUAGGGAAGAGCUCGAAGUGGAAAGGCCAAGAUCCUACAGUAUAUUCUUUGAAGAUAUCACCUUCACUGCUAUGAAGUUUCUUUAGAUUUUCUGUAUGAAUGAUGAUAUUAUGUUACUUUGUUGUUCUUUGGUAAAAAGUGAUUUUUCUUAAAGCAUAUGAUAAAAGCCUUUGCACAAAGAGCAUUUGACUGUACCUAACAAAUGCACUCAGAGUAUCCUUAAUGUUUUUAAGAUAAAGUUUGUGAAUAUGGGUGAUUCUAACAAUAAAUUAAACAUAUGAAUUAAUCAACAACUAUUAUUCAUGGCAUACCAUAUGGAAAAGGUCUGACAAUCACAGAUCAUACAAAAUAUGAAAUGGCUCAAUAUAAUUGUGUUGAACUGGGCUUGAAUAUAUUUCUUGUCAAUUGAAUCAAACAAGACAGACAUUUGGAGGUGUAUAAUCUGUAGAAGAAUAACGAAA